AGUUUGUGUGGACUUACCCCACGAGGUGCACCACCCUGCUCUGCCUAUCAGACGGUCCAAUGCGCAAGAUUUAGUUUCUCUUUGUCCCCGGCGUCCCACUCGAGACCUGCUUUCUCCACCUCACAGGAAAAGAUGGGAUACUGGAAGCCCCUGGCAGUUUCGCAAACCCAGAGCCGAUGGAAGGAAGGCUUCUGAUUGGCCUGACUUGGGCCCUAUGCCUGUGAUGGAGCCAUGAUCACGAUUAGGGCCCUCACAGCCCAGUGGUGAAAACAGAGUAACAUCUGGCUAUGAUAUAAAAGGAGAGAUGUGAAUAACUGGGAACUUGGAGCACAUCAAAUUCCCUGUUUGAACCACCCAACCCUCUGCCUGAACAGGAAUUCCGAGGAGACGCCAAGGAAGAACCGGGGGUGGGGGGCUUUCUCAAUUGCUCCUGGGACCCCACCCCACCCACACAAAGUCAGGAGAUCUCAAGUUUGACAUUUGGCCUCAAAGGGGAAAAAUAUGCAAAGCGUACAUUUUCAGAAGCCAGAAUAAAGAAC
rnacentral:lncRNA from 1 species